ACCCCGUCCACCCGCAGGUGGGACAAGGCGGCUGCGCCCCUCCCGGCCGAAUGAAGCUCCAUUCCCCCGGAGGCGGGGUCUGUGCAGCCUUGCCGGCUCAGCCCGAGGCGUGAAGGGCCUGAGGCUGGUCGACCUGCUUUCUCCUGGGCUUGAGGCCAGAAGCCGUCCGUGGACUUCUGGGCCCCGCGGCGCGGGGCGGGGGUCUGGAGGCCGCGUUGCCUGACCUCGGGCUUAACACCCGGAAUCCUGCGUCCCCCCAGGCUCCACCUCCAUUUGGGACAACCGACUGUUUCACCAAGAUGAUGUUGGUACAACUAGUGAGAUGCAGCACACCACCCUUUGCCUCUGGAAGAGAAACCAGACUGCAAAGGGGACUGAGUACAGAAGCUAACGGAACUCAGAAGGACAAGACAAAAAAGCAUAAAUGGUUAGUGUGACCCAACAUUCUAACAUGCCUGUUACAUCAAAUAUGGUCACUUGGGGGUGUCCGGAGGAAGACAAACAAGGAGUGUUCAUUUGUGUACAAUGUGAUGGAGUUUGCAAACCAGGAGCUCACCCCACAUCAACAACAGCUUGUAUAGAACAAAAUGCUAUUUUAAAACACAUGGUUUGUACAGAUAUUUGUUUUCUGUUGUAAUUUUUGUAAAAAAGUAUCAAAACCUUCAUGUCUUUAAAUAUAUAUAUACAUAUA